UGGUUCGUGGGUUUCCUUCCUCCUUUAGGUGCGCGUCCGUGACGGAGCCUGGAAACAGCACCCACGACGCCGUCUGCGGCGGGAUGACGGGUGUCGCAACCCGUGUAACCCGUGCAACCCAUUCGCCGCACAACCCGGCCAGGAGCACCAACGUACCUCUUUCUACUCCUCCGAGUAAGGAUCCCAUGCUCGCUGUCCAGAACGAAGAGGCUCCGACGGACCUUUCGUCCAAAGCCGGCUGGGCGGCCGGCGGGAUGUUCGCCCUCCUCGUCCUGAUCGCAGGGACUCUUCUCUUCGUGGCCUUUCGGAACAGAGACCGUGAUUGCGCUCUACCGUUUCGCAAAGACGAAAAGCUCUUUGCGUUGAUAGGGAAAGGAGCCUCCCAGCAAAGGAUUCCUCCGUUGAAUGGAGUGGAUCGCGACGGCACCCACGUCAACGUCAACUGCAUCGUGAGCGUCUGCAGGUCGGGCCGCACCUCGGAGUCCCAUCCGCUGAAGGGUUCGGACCCCGAGUUCCGCCCUCUCGCGGAGGACGAAAUCCCGCUCUCCGAGGAAGAAAGCCACCACAAGCAAACGGCCGUGGAAGUGGAGGACGACGACACGGACUCCCCCGAGUGCGGUGAGGGAAAGCUCCCUCCACUGAGUGUACAAGACGUCGGCAUGAAGUCGGCAUGAGAAUCAAUUCUUCUUGCAACAGCAAACAAAUGUGGGGCUGGGCCUCAUUGGUUGGCAAACAAAGAGUAAACAACUCCUUAUUGAACACGAGAAAUUCCAAAAAAUGCUAUGUUUCCUCACAUAAUAGUCGCACCCCCCAAAUUAGUAGAAGUUUUGUAUUCCUUGAAUAAUAGUCGUAGAGCUGAAUCUUGCAGUGCGAGAAAUUCCAAAAAAUGCCACGUGUCCUCACAUAAUAGUCGCACCCACAAAUUAGUAUUUUUGUGUUUCUCGCAUAAUAGUCGCAGAGCUGAAUCGUGCAACGCGAGAAAUUCCCAAAAAUGCCAUGUUUCCUCACAUAAUAGUCGCACCCACAAAUUAGUAUUUUUGUGUUUCUCGCAUAAUAGUCGCAGAGCUGAAUCUUGCAGCGCGAGAAAUUCCAAAAAAUGCCAUGUGUCCUCACAUAAUAGUCGCACCCACAAAUUAGUAUUUUUUGUGUUUCUCGCAUAAUAGUCGCAGAGCUGAAUCUUGCAACGCGAGAAAUUCCAAAAAAUGCCACGUUUCCUCACAUACUAGUUGCACCCACAAAUUAGUAUUUUUGUGUUUCUCGCAUAAUAGUCCGCAGAGCUGAAUCGUGCAACGCGAGAAAUUCCAAAAAAUGCCAUGUUUCCUCACAUAAUGNNNNNNNNNNNNNNNNNNNNNNNNNNNNNNNNNNNNNNNNNNNNNNNNNNNNNNNNNNNNNNNNNNNNNNNNNNNNNNNNNNNNNNNNNNNNNNNNNNNNCGAGAAAUUCCAAAAAAUGCCAUUGUUCCUCACAUAAUAGUCGCACCCACAAAUAGUAUUUUUGUGUUUCUCGCAUAUAGUCGCAGAGCUGAAUCUUGCAACGCGAGAAAUUCCAAAAAAUGCCACGUUUCCUCACAUACUAGUUGCACCCACAAAUUAGUAUUUUUGUGUUCUCGCAUAAUAGUCGCAGAGCUGAAUCGUGCAACGCGAGAAAUUCCAAAAAAUGCCAUGUUUCCUCACAUAAUGGUCGCACCCACAAAUUAGUAUUUUUGUGUUUCUCGCAUAAUAGUCGCAGAGCUGAAUCGUGCAACGCGAGAAAUUCCAAAAAAUGCCAUGUUUCCUCACAUAAUAGUCGCACCCACAAAUUAGUAUUUUUGUGUUUCUCGCAUAAUAGUCACAGAGCUGAAUCUUGCAACGCGAGAAAUUCCCAAAAAUGCCACAUUUCCUCACAUAAUAGUCGCACCCACAAAUUAGUAUUUUUGUGUUUCUCGCAUAAUAGUCACAGAGCUGAAUCUUGCAACGGCAAACGAAUGUGGGGGAGCUCAUUGGUUUGCAAACAAACAGUAAACAACGCCCUAUUUAACGUGGGAUAUUCCAAAAAAAAAGACACAUUUCCUCACACAAUAGUCGCACCCACAAAUUAGUAAAUGUUUUAUAUUCCUCGCACAAUAGUCGCAGAGCUGAAUUUCGGACGCCUUUCCUCACAUAACGUCCAAAGCAUUUCAGAGAAGACGAGCUGUACAGUGCAUAUAGAAAGCAUAUUAAGACAUCAUAUAUAUAUAUAUAUAUAUAUAUAUAUAUAUAUAUAUACCCACAUACAUAUACAUAUAAAUAUGUACACACUUAUCUAAAAAUCCAAAAUAUUUCCGGUGCAAAGGAUAUUAUACGAAGUACCAAAGCGUCCGUCUGUGCAAUAUAUAUAUAUAUAUAUAUAUAUAUAUAUAUAUAUAUAAUGUGUGUGAUAUAUAUAUAUAUAUAUAUAAAUACAGUAUAUGUGUGUGUGUGUCUAUAUAUAUAUAUAUAUAUAUAUAUAUAUAUAUGGUUUCCAAGUGACGUUUCAGUUUGCAAUUUCUCAUUUUUAUCAUGCAAUGUAAAUAGAUUGUGAUAUAUAUAUAGAGAGAACUAGAUUGCGAUAGAUUUAUAUAUAUAGAGAGAGAGAGAGAGAGAGAAAGGAAAUAUUUUAUCUUUUGUAUGUGAGCCUUUUAAAGCUUUCGACCUGAGCCAUGAUUUGUAAGAUUUUGCAAUUGCGCAGUUUUGUAAAUGUUUUAAAUACCUUCCUUUAUUCAUCCUAUAUUUUUCUAUAUUUUUUUGUAAUGCCUUGUUGUGCUGCUCUGGGGCAAAAUAAAAUCUCACGUUUCCGCGGAUUUGCAUUGCUUUUGCAAAGAGUGUGUUCCCAUUAUUAUUAUUAUUAUUAUACACCUUCCCCUUCAUUUGUUUAUUUAUUUACUUACGGUAUUUAUUACGUACAUAUGUGGCAAACAUUCAAUGCGGUUAAUAGACAGGCAAGACAGACAAUUGUACAUAGAUAGAGGAUUCCCCCAGGCAGGAAGCAGCCAGGCCUUGAAGCUGCACAGCCAUCCAAUGCUAACCAAGGCGAUUAGAUACAGGCAGGGAACAAUCGGGGCCAGCUAACACCUUCCAACCAAGGAUUUCCCCCCCAGGCAGGAAGCAGCCAGGCCAUUCAAUGCCAAUCACAGCGAUUAAUUACAGACGGAACAAUCAGGGCCAGCUAACGCCUUCCAACCAAGGAUUCCCCCCCCCAGGCAGGAAGUAGCAAGGCCAUUCAAUGCCAAUCACAGCGAUUAAUUACAGACGGAACAAUCAGGGCCAGCUGACACCUCCCAACUAAGGAUUUCCCCCCAGGCAGGAAGUAGCAAGGCCAUUUAAUGCCAAUCACGGCGAUUAAUUACAGACGGAACAAUCAGGGCCAGCUAACACCUCCCAACCAAGGAUUUCCCCCCAGGCAGGAAGUAGCAAGGCCAUUUAAUGCCAAUCACGGCGAUUAAUUACAGAUGGAACAAUCAGG
rnacentral:lncRNA from 11 species